AGAGGUUGGGCUGCCUGGCCAGGCUUGUUGGGAUGAGUCGGGCUGGGCACGAUUGCAUUGUGAGGAGGGAGGCUGGGGCUCCGUGAGACGUGCUCCUGGCACUGCCAGCUACUACUUGGCCCUCGCUGGUGGCCCGCCAGGACAAUGCCCCCCACAGCCAUCUCAUGCCCAUCACCACUGCCCUGGGGCAGCUGAACUGAGCGGAUGUGCCACGCCACCCGGGAGACCCCUCUGCUGCACCACUUCAUGGCCCCCGUGAUGGCUCGCUGGCCUCCUUUCGGCCUCUGCCUCCUCCUGCUGCUGCUGUCCCCACCGCCACUGCCCUUGACAGGGGCCCAUCGCUUCUCCGCACCUAACACCACUCUCAACCACUUGGCACUGGCGCCUGGCCGAGGCACACUCUAUGUCGGCGCCGUGAACCGCCUCUUCCAGCUCAGCCCUGAGCUGCAGCUCGAGGCCAUGGCUGUCACUGGCCCUGUCAUCGACAGCCCCGACUGUGUGCCCUUCCGUGACCCGGCUGAGUGCCCACAGGCUCAGCUCACUGACAAUGCCAACCAGCUGCUGCUGGUGAGCAGCCGUGCCCAGGAACUGGUGGCCUGUGGGCAGGUGCGGCAGGGUGUGUGUGAGACACGGCGCCUUGGGGAUGUGGCCGAGGUGCUGUACCAGGCUGAGGACCCUGGUGACGGGCAGUUUGUGGCUGCCAAUACCCCGGGAGUGGCCACGGUGGGGCUGGUUGUGCCCUUGCCCGGCCAGGACCUCCUGCUUGUGGCCAGAGGCCUGGCGGGCAAGCUGUCGGCAGGGGUACCACCCCUGGCCAUCCGCCAGCUGGCAGGGCCUCAGCCCUUCUCCAGCGAGGGCCUGGGCCGCCUGGUGGUAGGCGACUUCUCCGACUACAACAACAGCUACGUGGGGGCCUUUGCCGACGCCCGCUCCGCCUACUUUGUGUUCCGCCGCCGUGGGGCCCGGGCCCAGGCUGAGUACCGCUCCUAUGUGGCCCGCGUCUGCCUGGGGGACACCAACCUGUACUCCUAUGUGGAGGUCCCCCUCAACUGCCAGGGCCAGGGCCUCAUCCAGGCCGCCUUCCUUGCCCCGGGCACCUUGCUAGGGGCGUUUGCCGCGGGCCCAGGGGGCACCCAGGCGGCGCUCUGCGCCUUCCCCAUGGCGGAGCUGGGUGCCAGCAUGGAGCAGGCCCGGAGACUUUGCUACACAGCAGGCGGCCGGGGCCCCAGCGGCGCAGAAGAAGCCACCGUGGAGUACGGCGUCACGUCGCGCUGUGUCACGCUGCCCCUUGACUCCCCCGAGUCGUACCCCUGCGGCGACGAACACACCCCCAGCCCCAUUGCCGGCCGCCAGCCCCUGGAGGCCCAGCCUCUGCUGAAGCUCGGGCAGCCAGUCAGCGCCGUGGCAGCCCUCCAGGCAGACGGGCACAUGAUAGCCUUCCUAGGGGACACCCAGGGCCAGCUGCACAAGGUCUUUCUCCACGGCUCCCAGGGCCAGGUUUACCACUCCCAGCAAGUGGGGCCUCCAGGCUCAGCCAUCAGCCCAGACCUGCUGCUGGACAGCAGUGACAGUCACCUCUAUGUCCUGACUGCUCACCAGGUGGAUCGGAUACCUGUGGCGGCCUGUCCCCAGUUCCCUGACUGUGCCAGCUGCCUCCAGGCCCAGGACCCGCUGUGUGGCUGGUGUGUCCUCCAGGGCAGGUGUACCCGGAAGGGCCAGUGCAGGCGGGCGGGCCAGCCGAACCAGUGGCUGUGGAGCUAUGAGGAGGACAGCCACUGCCUGCACAUCCAGAGCCUGCUGCCGAGCCACCACCCCCGCCAGGAGCAGGGCCAGGUCACUUUGUCUGUCCCCCGGCUGCCCAUCCUGGAUGCAGAUGAAUACUUCCAUUGUGCUUUCGGGGACUAUGACAGCUUGGCUCAUGUGGAAGGGCCCUACGUGGCCUGUGUCACCCCUCCCCAAGACCAGGUGCCACUUAACCCUCCAGGCACAGAACAUAUCACUGUGCCCCUGGCCCUGAUGUUCGAAGACGUAGCUGUGGCUGCCACCAACUUCUCCUUUUAUGACUGCAGUGCCAUCCAGGCCUUGGAGGCAGCUGCCCCGUGUCGUGCUUGCGUGGGCAGCAUCUGGCGGUGUCACUGGUGCCCCCAGAGUAGCCACUGUGUGUAUGGAGAGCACUGCCCAGAGGGCGAGAGGACCGUCUACAGCACCCAGGAGGUGGACGUCCAGGUGCGUGGCCCAGGGGCUUGCCCACAGGUUGAAGGCCUGGCAGGUCCCCACCUGGUGCCUGUGGGCUGGGAGAGCCAUUUGGCCCUACGCGUGCGGAACCUUCAGCAUUUCCGAGGCUUGCCUGCCUCCUUCCACUGCUGGCUGGAGCUGCCUGGAGAACUUCGGGGGCUGCCGGCCACCCUGGAGGAGACAGCAGGGGACUCGGGCCUCAUCCACUGCCAGGCCCACCAGUUCUACCCCUCCAUGUCCCAGCGGGAGCUCCCAGUGCCCAUCUACGUCACCCAGGGCGAGGCCCAGAGGCUGGACAACGCCCAUGCUCUUUAUGUGAUCCUGUACGACUGUGCCAUGGGCCACCCGGACUGCAGCCACUGCCAAGCGGCCAACAGGAGCCUGGGCUGCCUGUGGUGUGCUGAUGGCCAGCCUGCCUGUCGCUAUGGGCCCUUGUGCCCGCCGGGGGCUGUGGAGCUGCUGUGUCCUGCACCCAGCAUUGAUGUGGUGGAGCCCCUGACUGGUCCCCCUGAGGGAGGCUUGGCCCUCACCAUCCUGGGCUCCAACCUGGGCCGGGCCUUCGCUGAUGUGCAAUAUGCCGUGAGCGUGGCCAGCCGGCCCUGCAGCCCUGAGCCCUCUCUCUACCGCACCUCAGCCCGGAUUGUGUGUGUGACAUCUCCUGCCCCCAAUGGCACCACUGGGCCCGUCCAGGUGGCCAUUAAGAGCCAGCCACCAGGCAUCUCAAGCCAGCACUUCACCUACCAGGACCCUGUCCUGCUGAGCCUGAGUCCUCGCUGGGGUCCCCAGGCAGGGGGCACCCAGCUCACCAUCCGAGGUCAGCACCUCCAGACAGGUGGCAACACCAGUGCCUUCGUGGGUGGCCAACCCUGUCCCAUCCUGGAGCCAGUGUGUCCGGAGGCCAUUGUGUGCCGCACCAGGCCCCAGGCUGUCCCAGGAGAAGCAGCGGUCCUUGUAGUCUUUGGCCAUGCCCAGCGCACACUGCUCGCCAGCCCCUUCCGCUACACUGACAACCCCCGGCUUGUAGCAGCGGAACCCAGUGCCAGCUUCCGGGGGGGUGGGCGGCUGAUCCGUGUCAGCGGCACCGGCCUGGAUGUGGUGCAGCGGCCCCUACUGUCUGUGUGGCUGGAGGCUGACACAGAGGCGCAGGCUUCCAGGGCCCAGCCCCAGGACCCAGAGCCAAGGAGGAGCUGUGGAGCCCCUGCUGCGGAUCCCCAGGCUUGUAUCCAGCUUGGUGGGGGACUGCUGCAGUGCUCCACCGUCUGCUCUGUCAACUCGUCCAGCCUCCUCCUGUGCUGGAGCCCUGCCGUGCCAGACAGGGCCCGCCCGCAGCGGGUCUUCUUCACCCUAGACAACAUGCAAGUAGACUUCGCCAGCGCCAGCGGGGGCCAGGGCUUCCUGUACCAGCCCAACCCCCGCCUGGCACCCCUCAGCCGCGAGGGGUCUGCCCGCCCCUACCGCCUCAAGCCAGGCCACAUCCUGGAUGUGGAGGGUGAGGGCCUCAACCUGGGCAUCAGCAAGGAAGAGGUGCGCGUGCACAUCGGCCGCAGCGAGUGCCUGGUGAAGACGCUCACGCGCACCCACCUGUACUGCGAGCCGCCUGCGCACGCCCCGCAGCCUGCCAAUGGCUCUGGCCUGCCGCAGUUCGUGGUGCAGAUGGGCAAUGUGCGGCUGGCCCUGGGCCCUGUGCAGUACGAGGCUGAGCCCCCGCUGUCUGCCUUUCCCGUGGAGGCCCAGGCAGGCCUGGGCAUGGGUGCUGCCGUGCUGAUCGCCGCCGUGCUCCUCCUCACCCUCAUGUACAGGCACAAGAGCAAGCAGGCCCUGCGGGACUACCAGAAGGUGCUACUGCAGCUGGAGAGCCUGGAGACCGGCGUGGGGGACCAGUGCCGCAAGGAGUUCACAGACCUCAUGACGGAGAUGACCGACCUCAGCAGCGACCUGGAGGCCAGCGGGAUCCCCUUCCUGGACUACCGCACCUACGCCGAGCGCGCCUUCUUCCCUGGCCAUGGCGGUUGCCCACUGCAGCCCAAGCCCGAGGGGCCAGGGGAGGACGGCCACUGCACCACUGUGCACCAGGGCCUCACGCAGCUCUCCAACCUGCUCAACAGCAAGCUCUUCCUCCUCACGCUCAUCCACACCCUGGAGGAGCAGCCCAGCUUUUCCCAGAGGGAUCGCUGCCAUGUGGCUUCGCUGCUGUCACUAGCACUACACGGCAAGCUGGAGUACCUGACUGACAUCAUGAGGACCCUGCUGGGUGACCUGGCAGCCCAUUACGUGCACAGGAACCCCAAGCUCAUGCUACGCAGGACAGAGACCAUGGUGGAAAAACUGCUCACCAACUGGCUGUCCAUCUGCCUGUACGCCUUCCUGAGGGAGGUGGCCGGUGAGCCACUGUACAUGCUCUUCCGGGCCAUCCAGUACCAAGUGGACAAAGGCCCCGUGGACGCCGUGACAGGCAAGGCCAAACGGACCCUGAAUGAUAGCCGCCUGCUGCGGGAGGACGUGGAGUUCCAGCCCCUGACACUGAUGGUGCUGGUGGGGCCUGGGGCUGGCGGGGCCUCAUGCAGCAGUGAGGUGCAGCGCGUGCCGGCCCGGGUGCUCGACACAGACACCAUCACCCAGGUCAAGGAGAAGGUGUUGGACCAAGUCUACAAGGGCACCCCCUUCUCCCAGAGGCCCUCAGUGCAUGCCCUAGACCUUGAGUGGCGCUCGGGCCUGGCUGGUCACCUCACCCUGUCGGAUGAAGACUUGACCUCCGUGACCCAAAACCAUUGGAAGAGACUCAACACUUUGCAGCACUACAAGGUCCCAGAUGGAGCAACAGUGGGGCUCGUCCCUCAGCUGCACAGCGGCAGCAGCAUCUCCCAGAGCCUGGCCCAGAGGUGCCCCUUGGGAGAGAACAUCCCCACGCUGGAGGAUGGCGAGGAGGGUGGGGUGUGCCUCUGGCACCUGGUGAAAGCCACCGAGGAGCCAGAAGGGGCCAAGGUGCGGUGCAGCAGCCUGCGAGAGCGGGAACCAGCGAGGGCCAAGGCCAUUCCGGAAAUCUACCUCACCCGUCUGCUGUCCAUGAAGGGCACGCUGCAGAAGUUUGUGGACGACACCUUCCAGGCCAUUCUCAGUGUGAACCGGCCCAUCCCCAUUGCUGUCAAGUACCUGUUUGACCUUCUGGAUGAACUCGCAGAGAAGCACGGCAUCGAGGACCCAGGGACCCUGCACAUCUGGAAGACUAACAGUCUGCUGCUGCGGUUCUGGGUGAAUGCCUUGAAGAACCCACAGCUCAUCUUUGAUGUGCGGGUGUCGGACAACGUGGACGCCAUCCUUGCUGUCAUCGCCCAGACCUUUAUUGACUCCUGUACCACCUCGGAGCAUAAAGUGGGCCGGCUCAUGCCUAGCGCCUUCCCUCCCUCUGGAGCAGGAUUCCCCAGUGAACAAACUGCUCUACGCCCGGGAGAUCCCACGCUACAAGCAAAUGGUGGAAAGAUACUAUGCAGACAUUCGCCAGAGCUCUCCGGCGAGCUUCCAGGAGAUGAACUCUGCCCUGGCUGAGCUCUCCGGGAGCUACACUUCUGCUCCCCACUGUCUGGAGGCUCUGCAAGAACUCUACAACCACAUCCACAGGUACUACGAUCAGAUUAUCAGUGCCCUGGAGGAGGACCCUGUGGGCCAGAAGCUGCAGCUGGCCUGCCGCCUGCAGCAGGUUGCCGCCCUGGUGGAGAACAAAGUGACUGACCUGUGAGCUCUGGCUCAGACAGCAGCAAGCCGGAUCCACCACCACCGCAGUGCCUUAUGACCCCGGAACCGAGCCAGCCACUGAGGGGAGCUGGCAGAGCCUGGGGGCGCAGGGUGCACAGCCAGGCGCUGUGCCCAGCAGUGGGCUCCCUGCCUGCCACCUCCCCUGCCAGCCCACCCACCUUCCCCCCACCUGGGAUUGUUUCUAAUUUAUAAGGACCCCCCCCUUCUUCCCCCUCUCCCCACUAUAUUUAUUUGCCUGCUGGAAAAUCACAUCUGAAAAUAAAAUAGAAAUAUGUCUUUAUUUU